AUCAGGAAAAACCAAGCAGCUCAGAAUGUGCCGAGGUCAUUGAUUGCCGCUGCCACCUCCAAUGGCGGUAACCGAUUAGGAUUGUUAAGCAAAUCAACGAUUUCCUUGCAAUCAGACUCAAUGGGAAGAUGAGUGUAACCCAAUGCAAUAUUCUUUUUCUCGGAGAGAAACUAAAGAUGGGAACACUACGCAGAAACCCAACUGAUUCAUAUCCUCUCAAUCUAUCAAAGUAUCAGAUAUCCGGUAGUAAUGGUUGAUCUGAGGUAUAUGGGUAAUCCUUGGACGAUCCCUGCCACCUUUACGCAGCAGGUCUACAAAUUCGACCGGCAUAUCAUCCAAGGUUAGUUCUUUCAGCUUGCUAAGGUAUUCAAUACCUUGUGGUAGCAUCUUUAACAUGCAGCAGCCACCCACCCAUAGAUCUUCGAUAUCAGGCAUUGCUCCCUUCUCGAUUAUUACUUUAUGCAACUGCGACAAAUUCCACAAUCUUAGUAUCUUCAGCAUAGGGAACCACAUGGGAUGGAAGUGCAGGAGAUUCCCUUCAUAUGCAUUUGAAAGAGUAAGACGCCGAAGGUUGCACAAAGCAUGAAUUUUAAGCAAGGGAUUCUCCUUUAGUUUGGAGCAUUUCAAGAACAAAAAGGUUAGAUCAUUAAGAGAGCCAAACCAGCUAGGUACUGACUUCAAUUUCCCCACCAGAGUGAGCCUUUGCAGAAGGGGAGGAGGGUGCUUCAAAUCAUUCAUAUUGAGUUCAUGCCCAAUACAAGACAUUAAAAAUAGGCUGCGAAGGAGAUUCAGUUUUUGUAUUGUUGCACACAACUGCCGAACCUGAGUGCCGGCCUUCACCUUUGUAAUGCCAAUUCUUCUAAGUUGUGUCAUAUUCCCAAGUGUUCUAACGAUGUCAUCAUCUGCUUCGAUAGAUGCUAAAACUUGCAAACUCUCCAGCUGACUUAUGUCAAA